AGUUUAUUUUAAUAACAUUUAUAAUACUAAAAUAGACAUUCAGAAAGCUGUACUUUAACACGAUACUAGAAGAUGAUGUACUCAAAUACUAUAGAAGAUUCUUGAGAAAAUAAAACCAAAUGUUUGUACGCCGAUAUCGACGUUUUACGGAACUGAUAAAUGUGCUAAAACUCUGUGCCACGCUUUUUGAAGUUCGCAUUUGGAGAGCGUGUGAGGCUGUUGUCCGUGUUUAAUCGAGAAAUAUAUUUAGAACAUAUUAUGAAGUAUUGGCAGGCUGUACUUGACGACUUAAUAUUACUUGUAUUUCAUAAAUAAUCA
rnacentral:lncRNA from 1 species